rnacentral:rRNA from 1 species
CCUACGGGAGGCAGCAGUGAGGAAUAUUGGUCAAUGGGCGGGAGCCUUAACCAGCCAAGCCGCGUGAGGGAAGAAGGUACAGCGUAUCGUAAACCUCUUUUGUCAGGGAACAAAGCCGGGGACUCGUCCCCGGAUGAGGGUACCUGAAGAAAAAGCAUCGGCUAACUCCGUGCCAGCAGCCGCGGUAAUACGGAGGAUGCGAGCGUUCUCCGGAUUUGUUGGGUUAAAAGGGUGCGCAGGCGGUCUGUUAAGUCAGCGGUAAAAGCCCGGGGCUCAACCCCGGCGAGCCGUUGAAACUGGCAGGCUGGAGUUGGAGAGAAGUACGCGGAAUGCGCGGUGUAGCGGUGAAAUGCUUAGAUAUCGCGCAGAACCCCGAUUGCGAAGGCAGCGUACCGGCUCCACACUGACGCUGAGGCACGAAAGCGUGGGUAUCGAACAGGAUUAGAUACCCGAGUAGUC